rnacentral:rRNA from 1 species
GAUGAACGCUGGCGGCGUGCCUAAUACAUGCAAGUCGAGCGAACAGACGAGGAGCUUGCUCCUCUGACGUUAGCGGCGGACGGGUGAGUAACACGUGGAUAACCUACCUAUAAGACUGGGAUAACUUCGGGAAACCGGAGCUAAUACCGGAUAAUAUAUUGAACCGCAUGGUUCAAUAGUGAAAGACGGUUUUGCUGUCACUUAUAGAUGGAUCCGCGCCGCAUUAGCUAGUUGGUAAGGUAACGGCUUACCAAGGCAACGAUGCGUAGCCGACCUGAGAGGGGGAUCGGCCACACUGGAACUGAGACACGGUCCAGACUCCUACGGGAGGCAGCAGUAGGGAAUCUUCCGCAAUGGGCGAAAGCCUGACGGAGCAACGCCGCGUGAGUGAUGAAGGUCUUCGGAUCGUAAAACUCUGUUAUUAGGGAAGAACAAAUGUGUAAGUAACUAUGCACGUCUUGACGGUACCUAAUCAGAAAGCAACGGCUAACUACGUG